GACGAACGCUGGCGGCGGGCUUAACACAUGCAAGUCGAACGGUGACCCACUUCGAAGGUGCUCUUUCGCGUACGGGGUGGUAACAGGUUGGCAACCUGCUCCCGGCCCUGUUAUAACUCCAGGAAAUUGGGGCGAAUACUGGGCUUUUACCGCUUCCGACCUGGGUGUGGGUGGAGAGGGUUUCCGGCUGGUGAGCGGCCCGCGGCCUAGCUGCUGGAUUGUGGGGUAGGGGCGUACCAGGGCGACGACGGGUAGCCGGCCUGAGAGGGUGACCUGCCACACUGGGACUGCGAGACGGAGCAGACUCCUACGGGAGGCAGCAGUGGGGAAUAUUGCGCAAUGGGCGGGCGCGUGACGCAGCGACGCCGCGUGGGGGAUGCCGGCCUUCGGGUUGUAAAACUCUUUCAGCAGGGACGCAGCGCAAGUGACGGUACCUACAGAAGAAGCACCGGCCAACUACGUG
rnacentral:rRNA from 1 species